GUCUGUGUGCGUGUGUCUCCAGCUCUGAGUGACGGGUGUUGGAGCUCCGCCCUCCGGCACCUGUGCAUCCGCCCGAGCGCAACACGUUCCGAAAAAGCGGAGUCACGGAGAAAAAGAGAGGGAUAUUUUCCAUCGUGAGCAUGUUUCUAAUCAUCACCAACAGCUCUUCUGCGACCCCUUUUAAAUACGGAGCGACGCUUUUUUAGUUGCGCGCUUUGAGGGCGAGUUUUUCCGACGCGGGAACCGGAGCGCGGGCGAGAGCGCGGCGGCGGCCGGAGGAGAGUGCACUGAACCCGGCCACAGCGCCUGGAGAUUAUGGCUGAUCUGCUGGAGCUCCUGAAAGACGCUCGAUGCUCCCCGCUGAAGAAGAAGAAGACGAUGAUGAUGAUGAUGAUGAAGAUGAUUAUUAUGAUGAUGAAGGGUGAAUGAAGGCGUCCUCAAUCAUCAUGACCUACUACACAAGUGAGCUUAAAGUGAGCCCUCAGCAGGCGUCAGCGGGCCGCAGAGGAGAGGUCAUCAUCCCGUUCAGCCCCGACGUGCCCUGCGACCCCAACGGGCAGCGCAUGUGGUGGGCUUUUCUGGCGUCCUCCAUGGUCACGUUUUUCGGGGGUCUGUUCAUCAUCCUGCUGUGGAG